GAACUCAAGGGCCGCGAGAUCGUGACCUGGCUGAAGUCGGACGCUUAACCGACUGCGCCACCCAGGCGCCCCAACGUUGAUAUAUAUUAAUAACAUAUUAAUAACAUCAACAUACAUGUUAACCCUUCAUAGGGUAUAUCAUCUGUGAAUAUCUUCUCCCAUUUCGUUGGUUGCGUUUUCAUUUUGUUGAUAGUUUUCCUUUGCUGUGCAAAAGCUUUUUUAUUUUGGUAUCGUCAGUGUUCAGAUUUUAACCUGAAUAGGCAGGAGAGAAAAAUAGGGAUGCCAUGACGCCAUCUUGGGCAACACUGCUGGAUUAGCCUCUGUGAGGUCAUGACGCAGUAGGAAACGAUUCCCAAAUCUCAGUGGUGCAGAACAAGCGUGGCCCGUUUCUCAGUCCCAUUAAAUGUCGGUGGCUGCAGGUGUGACUCCCCAGUCCAGGACCCGGUUUGAAGGAGGAGCCGCUGUCUGGAACCCCGUACUCUCAAGGCAGAAGGAAAGGACUUUCCCAAAGAUUACUCUGAGAUUCCACUUCUGAAAGAGGAUGCGUAUAGGUGUGAGCGGAAUGUACAAAAUGCCAAAAGAAGUGAAGUUCAACAGGUUGUGUAAACAGUGCCAAAGUCAACCUUUAUGGAGCCCUUACCAUGGGCCAAAUGCUGUUCCCUAUGCUAUACUUGCACAUGCCUAACAAAACACCCAGGAGGUAGGUAAUGCUGUUAACAUACUGGGGCACAGAGAGGGCCAGCAACUUAUCCAAGGUCACACAGCUAGAAACUGAGCUGGGAUUCAAACACAGGCAGUCUGGCCCCAGAACCCUGUUGGGGAGGAACAGUUUUCUCCGCCCUUCGAGGUCCUUCUAGCUGGACUAAGAAUCAAAUUGAUAGGAGACAGAUUAACAGGAGAAAAUCAAAUUUCAUAGCACACAUAGGGCGAAUCCACAGGGACACGUCAAUUCCAAAGGCAGGCAACAUGAUGCUUAUUUGAGCUAAGGAGAGGGGUGGGGGUCUGGGGGAGGAAGAGCAUUAGCAGGAAGGUGAGAGAAGUUGUUUGCUAAACAAAGGUUGCCCUAUUACACAGACGUGUUUCUUGGGUAAACAGGAAUUUCUGUUAAUAGCCCUCUUCCUGGUACAAGCAGGCCUUUGUGGGGGAGGUGAAGAGCUUUUCCUGAACCUGGGCGGUUUUGAUUGCUUUUGACUCAAAGUAACGUUCCUGCCAAAGUGGCCCAUCUUGGGGCGGCCUGCCCCCGCCCACACUCCUAGCCUCUAGCACAUGGUCUCUGGCAAUGAUUAUCACUAAUGACCGAGCACGUUCCUUGUUGGGGACGUUCAGCUAGUGCCUUAGGGCUACCCUAUCUCAUUUACUAUUUCAUUUACGCCUCAAGAACGAGGAGUUAUCAAGGUGAUUAUUCCCAGUUAUCAUUCCCACUUAAUGCGGGAGGGAACAGGCUUAGAAAGAUCAAACUUGCCCGGCGUGUCAGCACUAAUUGGUGGUCAGACUGGAAUUCGGGCCGUGGAAUUCGUCCUUAAAUCUCUCCCCCUUCAUGUUCUUUUUUAUUUAUUUAUUUUGGGGAGAGAAAGAGACAGAGUGCGAGCAAGAGAGGGGCAGAGAGGGAGACACGGAAUCCGAAGCAGGCUGUGCUGUCAGCACAGAGCCCGACGCGGUGCUCGAACCCACGAACUGUGAGAUCAUGACCUGGGCUGAAGUCGGACGCUUAAUUGACUGAGCCACCCAGGCACCCCCCUUCAUGUUCUUAAUUAUCGAUAAUUGUUGGAGGUGAUCCGAAGGGUUUAUUUUACUAUUUACUUUACUUCCAUGUAUUUGAAAAUUGCCUUUAAAACAUCCCCAAAACAGAGGGUGACUGGAGGGGCAAACUAAAACCCCCCAACUACUCCCUUAGUCACUGUGUUGUCCCACCCCCGCAGGUUACUGUUUAUCUCCUUGAUGGGCAGGGAAGGGAAGGGAAAGAGAAGGUUGAAUCUGGGUCAGCAGAAUUUCCCAAACUUUUCAACAAUAGAACUUCUCCUUCGCCUGCCACACUUGAGGAGAUGGAGUUCUCACUUUCCCGGAGGAUGCUCGGCCAUCAGGGACUUGCCUCCUGUCCUGGUGGCUCCUGUCCUGGGCUGGAUAUCAACAGGAAGCGGGAGACGUGGAGGAGAUCGGUCCCGGGGAGAGGGCAGUCAGUGAGACACGCUCACAAGGCCCAGGCACUGUCCAAGCUGGCACUGAGGAGACCUCUCUGAGCACUGGCCUGGGACGUACAGACGGACCCCGGGGGUUGGGGAAAGGGCCCAGGCAGCAUUUCCAGGUCGCUGCAGGACACGGAAGGAGAAUGUGCCACAUCAGGCUGGGACUGGAAAUCUCCCAAGUUUAUUACCACGAUCUAGCUUUCUUACAUAGCUUCCCUUUUGCAAGGCACUUUCCCACACAGCAGCUCACUUCCUCCUCACGACCCUCAAGUAAGGCGGGCCACGUGGCUAUCACUCCCCCCAUUUUAUGGCACCGAGGGAAGAAUUUACAUGACUGUCAAAGUCACACAAGGGAGAACACCGUGCAAGUCUGAGGCAUCGGUGCCCUUGCCACUCUGUUACCCAGAACUGCCAGGGCUUAGAAUCAUUACUUGGGGGGGAUCCGUCUGGUCUAGAAAAUGCGGGUGCAGCCAAGGUCAUGUAGGCAUGUGAGGAGGUGGCCACACGAGCCACCGGGUGCCAGGUAUGAAACGCCCCUGGUUGAAAGAGAUGGGUCCUUUACACAGGCUCUGUUUUAGGAUACAAGAGGCUGGAAUCACAAGCAAGGGGUGGCUGGAUGUGGAGGACGGAGCCACAGUCACGGAGGGAGAGAGAACACCAGAUCCAGGAGGGGAUUCUGGGGCCUUUGGAUUCUGACCGGGCUUAUCAGGCGUGUCCCUGGUCUGAGCCCUGCCUCCCCAAGGGGCCGCGGGGAGGAGGGACAGCCAAGCCUCCAGGCUGACUCACUGCCUGGCUGCCCCCGUCUUGGAUCCUCUCCCUCCCACAUUCCACCAGCCCCUGGUCCUUUUACUGUUGUUUACCGCUGGCUUUAUUUACCUGGUCUCAACCUCCUCGUUAUCGUCUUGUGUUAUCACCAGGGGCUUUGCCGAGAGGGACGCCUACCUGCUUUGGUUCUUUCCUUCAUUACUGUCUUAAAAAAAAAUUGUUUUGUUUUUUUUUUUAAUGAAAGAAAGAGGAGGAAGUCAUCUGGAUGUUUACAAAAAACAAAAACAAGGCAGAGUCCCGUCAUCUAGGUUUGGGAGGGUGUGGCCACCCACCCCCCUCCUCUUCCAGCUUUGGCAAUGAAGUUUAGCCGCACAGGGUACCAGGCGUGUUUAUUCCUCUGUUCUCCGCAGGGACGUCCUCUCAGGAUUUCCAAGCACUUCCUGUGUCUCAGUGACUAUGUUUGGUUGGCCAGCGGACGGAUCCCUGCUUUUCAGACAUCAACUAAAAAUGUCAAGCCAGAGGGGUGCCUGGCUGACGCAGCACAAGGAACGCAUGACUCGAUCUCGGGGUCCUGAAUUCAAGCCCUCCACUGGGCAUAGAGAUUACUCAAAAAAACAAAGGAAGUAACGUCAGUGAGUCAACUUACAACUAGAAUGAUCAGCCUCUGCUUUAGUUUCUAAAAUUUGGUUUUUGUAGAUGAAGUUUCUUGAAGCGGUUACGUGUAUGAACGAAGAAAAGGAAGAAAGCCA